UAGUACUGUACAUGGUACAAGAUUUCAAAAUCACACAUACAUAUAUACAAAAGUCCAUGUCCCUUUUUUUUACUACUAUAUUUAUUCACAAACAAGGAAAUUAAUACAGACCAUGUCCUUAUAACAAAAGUACAAACAACCUAAUUAAUCAUCUUCAACUAUUUACAUACAUAAACUUAAUUAGACCACACUAGGUAGGUGCAUGCAUGCAAUAAAAUUAUAAAAUUCAAGAUAAAACCUAAAAAAAUGGAUCUAUAUAUGAUCUCAGGUCCGGCAGAUUAAUGACCGAUACCGGGACUGUGUCCCGGUGUUGUCGGCGGGAAAUCUCCUCCACCGUCUGUGGAAAUAUUUUCAUCGGAUUGAACAAUGUGGGCUUGCAAGGUGCGGCGACGGCUAUGGCCGCUAUCUUUUGUGAAAAUAAUUUCAUUUUUUUUUGGUGCUGUAAUGUUUUUCUCUGCCUUCAAUGGCCUUGCCUCACUAGAAAUGAUCCCAUAAGAGAAAAUUAAUAGGAGAAGAAAAGCACAAGUGCACAUAACUUUGCCUUUGCCCAUAAUAAUAAAUUAAUCUUGGAAUUGGUAAUUAAAUGUAGUGAGAUUAAACCAAAAUGGAAGGCUAUAUAUGUAUGUAUAUAUGUAUAAUAACAAGCUGGUUAGUAUUUAUGGGAGAAUAUAUAUGCUUGGAAGGGUUGAGAUUUUUUGGGUUUAUAUAGGCGAAGAGUUGCGAGGCAGGUGCCAAAAGUUGUUCAAAAUUAUGUGGAAAGAAC
rnacentral:lncRNA from 1 species